GUCAGGAUGGCUGAGCGGUCUAAGGUGCCGCAUUCAGGUUGCGGUGUCCCUGGGAGACGUGGGUUCGAGUCACACCCCUGACA
rnacentral:tRNA from 1 species